rnacentral:lncRNA from 1 species
CAUGCUCUCAUAACUCAUGAUAUAUUAUCAAUUAUUUAAAAAAUCUAAUUAAAAUAAGUUUGAUUGUAUAAGAUCAUAUUUGGAUAUAAAAUUUAUAAAUUAAUUUUUAACAUUCACAUAUAAUUAUUAAAAUAUUUUAAAAAUUAUUUAAUUUAAAAAAAUAAGAUAAGUCAUCAAUUCAUAAAAGAUCAUGUCUUUGAUAUUGAUGAUUUGCAUUGCAUCCUAGGCUUGACCUUUAAGGAUUUAAAAAUCCUCUAGUUGAACCUAACCCUUAGAACCUUCAUCUAGAUUCUCCAAAUUGUUUUGAUUUGAUCCUAUUUGCUAUGAUUGAUUAUCAUUCCCCCAACUUAUUAAAUUUUGAUUCCUUAAAUUGAGUUGAAUAUCUUUCUUAAUCUCUGAUUUGAUUACCUUUUGGUCCCUAUUCAAUUUGAGCCAAUUUUCUUUGGAUCUAAACUUCUUGAGCUGUUUUCUAUUUUGAGAAGUCAAUUUUUGGACCUGGUGAGCCGACUCGUGAUUUUCAGAGGAGAAACAGUUCUGUGAGGAGCUGACUCCCAGUUUUACUGGAGUCAAUCCCUCUUCAGGAGCCGACUCAUAUUUGGUAAGAGUCGACCCCUAUGUUUGGGAUGAGUUUCUUAAUUAGAAAUAUCUUAAAGCUUUAUCAUUCUAUUUUCAAUUUUUUCGAGCCGUAAUUCCUUUUAAACCCCUUUCCCAUCAAAAUUUGAACUUUCUCUCUAUUUCUACUCAAUUCUUGUUAUCCUUAUUCUUCAAUGGCACCCUGAAAGCAAUUCACCCAAAAGAAGAAGAAGUCCCAUGCAUAAAUUCAAGAAUUUAAGGCUUCUCCAAGUAAUUCUCCUGUGUAAAAAAAAAAAGAAAGACCAAGCUUCGAAAUGAUCAUGAGCAAAAAAAAGAUUUGAGUUUAUGAAGUAAGAAAGAAUUGUAAUUGAUCAGAAAAUUAAAAGGAUGAGUUGGAAGUCUAGUUUUCAAAAUGAAAGAUGUGUAAGUUGAGAUGGACAUUGAUAGUAUUGGACACACACUACAUAUAUAGACCGAUAGAAGCAUCUUAGAUCAUCUUGAGUAGCGACACAUUAGAUUGAGUUUUGUAUUAAAUCGAGAUGAUCAAGGAUAUUGAGGAUAUUAGUGCCAGCACUCAUACUAUAGCAGAUGAUGAUGAUGAUGAGCCUCCGACAACUAUUCUUAUGAUACAAAUAUCAAAUUCGAGAAGUCACUAGCAGCACAGACAGGGGCAGUUUCUAAUUAUCCUGAGAGUUUAAACAGACCAUCUAUUAGAUUGGAUGAGGAUUUAUUGGUUUAGAGAGUCUCUUCGAGGAUCGUGGAUAUGGUCCGCGCACAAAUUCAGCAACUCACUUCAAAGGCCAUUUCACUACUCAGGGAGGAGACUGCACGGUUGAUCUAGGAGAUUUCUAUUGUGAGGUCGGAUGCUCAAGAGCAACCAUCUGGAGAUGCUCAUCCACCCUCACCAUCUCAGCCUGAACCCUCUACCUAAGAUUUUAUCGUUCUAUCCUUUUAGGAUGCUAGGACUCAUCUUGUAGAGCUUUUAUAUUCCUAACAAUCCACCUUUUGGUAGAUAUUAUUUGGUUUCAUGCAUGUAUUGAUGACCUUUUGUAAUCAUUAUCUUUUGCAAUCACUUUUUAAAAAUCAAUGAAUGAGAAUUGUUCUUUUAUAAAAAUGUCCAAUAUACAAUGUUAUUGAUUCAAUUGAGCUUAUUGUAUUUAUAUUUACACACGCUUGCUUUAUGUGCCUUGUCCAUAACACUAAGGGGGAGAAAUAUGUAAAACUUAUUUUUCUUGAAAUUAAUUGAAUAUAUAUAUUUUGGAAGAAAAAGGAGGAGUAUCAAGAUAAAUAAAUCAUUUGGCAUUAACUAUUAAAAAUAGGAAGAGAAUUAAGUAAAUUAAGAUUUUCCAGCAUUUGUUAUGAAAAAUAGGGGGAGU